rnacentral:rRNA from 1 species
UACGUAGGGGGCAAGCGUUAUCCGGAUUUACUGGGUGUAAAGGGGGCGCAGACGGCGAUGCAAGCCAGGAGUGAAAGCCCGGGGCCCAACCCCGGGACUGCUCUUGGAACUGCGUGGCUGGAGUGCAGGAGGGGCAGGCGGAAUUCCUGGUGUAGCGGUGAAAUGCGUAGAUAUCAGGAGGAACACCGGUGGCGAAGGCGGCCUGCUAGACUGCAACUGACGUUGAGGCCCGAAAGCGUGGGGAGCAAACAGG